rnacentral:rRNA from 1 species
AGAGUUUGAUCCUGGCUCAGGAUGAACGCUAGCGGCAGGCCUAACACAUGCAAGUCGAGGGGCAUCACGAGGUAGCAAUACUUUGGUGGCGACCGGCGCACGGGUGCGUAACGCGUAUGUAACCUACCUAUAACAGGGGCAUAACACUGAGAAAUUGGUACUAAUUCCCCAUAAUAUUCGGAGAGGCAUCUCUCCGGGUUGAAAACUCCGGUGGUUAUAGAUGGACAUGCGUUGUAUUAGCUAGUUGGUGAGGUAACGGCUCACCAAGGCAACGAUACAUAGGGGGACUGAGAGGUUAACCCCCCACACUGGUACUGAGACACGGACCAGACUCCUACGGGAGGCAGCAGUGAGGAAUAUUGGUCAAUGGACGCAAGUCUGAACCAGCCAUGCCGCGUGCAGGAAGACGGCUCUAUGAGUUGUAAACUGCUUUUGUACGAGGGUAAACUCACCUACGUGUAGGUGACUGAAAGUAUCGUACGAAUAAGGAUCGGCUAACUCCGUGCCAGCAGCCGCGGUAAUACGGAGGAUUCAAGCGUUAUCCGGAUUUAUUGGGUUUAAAGGGUGCGUAGGCGGUUUGAUAAGUUAGAGGUGAAAUCCCGGGGCUUAACUCCGGAACUGCCUCUAAUACUGUUAGACUAGAGAGUAGUUGCGGUAGGCGGAAUGUAUGGUGUAGCGGUGAAAUGCUUAGAGAUCAUACAGAACACCGAUUGCGAAGGCAGCUUACCAAACUAUAUCUGACGUUGAGGCACGAAAGCGUGGGGAGCAAACAGGAUUAGAUACCCUGGUAGUCCACGCAGUAAAC